UCAACGAGUGCGCCAGGCACGUAAACGGUUAUACCGGUGUGCGGUGUAUGCCUGAACGUCGGUGUCUGUGUAUGCGUGUCAUCUUUGUGGCAUCACACGUCAACUACACUGAACGCAUACACCUGCAGCACCUUUGGGACUAAUGACACAAAGGUCAAGGCCAGCCUGGCGACCAUGCUUGCCAAGGAGUAGUGUAAAUAUGUAAUCUGUUUCCAUAAUUAGCAUAAGACAUGAAUUUAAGGAAUUCAUAUAUUAUAUCGAGCAAUAAAAACGGUUAAUGCAUUGCC